rnacentral:rRNA from 1 species
CCUACGGGUGGCAGCAGUGAGGAAUAUUGGUCAAUGGGCGCGAGCCUGAACCAGCCAAGUAGCGUGAAGGAUGACUGCCCUACGGGUUGUAAACUUCUUUUAUAAAGGAAUAAAGUGAGGCACGUGUGCCUUUUUGUAUGUACUUUAUGAAUAAGGAUCGGCUAACUCCGUGCCAGCAGCCGCGGUAAUACGGAGGAUCCGAGCGUUAUCCGGAUUUAUUGGGGUUAAAGGGAGCGUAGAUGGGUUGUUAAGUCAGUUGUGAAAGUUUGCGGCUCAACCGUAAAAUUGCAAUUGAUACUGGCAGCCUUGAGUGCAGUUGAGGUAGGCGGAAUUCUUGGUGUAGCGGUGAAAUGCUUAGAUAUCACGAAGAACACUGAUUGCGAAGGCGGCCUACUAAACUGCCACUGACAUUCAUGCUCGAAAGUGUGAGUAGCAAACAGGAUUAGAUACCCUUGUAGUC